CCUACGGGGGGCAGCAGUGAGGAAUAUUGGUCAAUGGACGAGAGUCUGAACCAGCCAAGUAGCGUGAAGGAUGACUGCCCUACGGGUUGUAAACUUCUUUUAUAUGGGAAUAAAAUGUUCCACGUGUGCGUUUUUGUAUGUACUUUAUGAAUAAGGAUCGGCUAACUCCGUGCCAGCAGCCGCGGUAAUACGGAGGAUCCGAGCGUUAUCCGGAUUUAUUGGGUUUAAAGGGAGCGUAGGUGGAUUGUUAAGUCAGUUGUGAAAGUUUGCGGCUCAACCGUAAAAUUGCAGUUGAAACUGGCAGUCUUGAGUACAGUAGAGGUGGGCGGAAUUCGUGGUGUAGCGGUGAAAUGCUUAGAUAUCACGAAGAACUCCGAUUGCGAAGGCAGCUCACUGGACUGCAACUGACACUGAGGCUCGAAAGUGUGGGUAUCAAACAGGAUUAGAUACCCCAGUAGUC
rnacentral:rRNA from 1 species